rnacentral:rRNA from 1 species
UAUUGGGCGUAGAGGGCUCGCAGGCGGUUUCUUAAGUCUGAUGUGAAAGCCCCCGGCUCAACCGGGGAGGGUCAUUGGAAACUGGGGAACUUGAGUGCAGAAGAGGAGAGUGGAAUUCCACGUGUAGCGGUGAAAUGCGUAGAGAUGUGGAGGAACACCAGUGGCGAAGGCGACUCUCUGGUCUGUAACUGACGCUGAGGAGCGAAAGCGUGGGGAGCGAACAGGAUUAGAUACCCUGGUAGUCCACGCCGUAAACGAUGAGUGCUAAGUGUUAGGGGGUUUCCGCCCCUUAGUGCUGCAGCUAACGCAUUAAGCACUCCGCCUGGGGAGUACGGUCGCAAGACUGAAACUCAAAGGAAUUGACGGGGGCCCGCACAAGCGGUGGAGCAUGUGGUUUAAUUCGAAGCAACGCGAAGAACCUUACCAGGUCUUGACAUCCUCUGACACUCCUAGAGAUAGGACGUCCCCUUCGGGGGCAGAGUGACAGGUGGUGCAUGGUUGUCGUCAGCUCGUGUCGUGAGAUGUUGGGUUAAGUCCCGCAACGAGCGCAACCCUUGAUCUUAGUUGCCAGCAUUCAAUUGGGCACUCUAAGGUGACUGCCGGUGACAAACCGGA